AUCUAAGGCCAUACCACCCUGAAUGUACCUGAUCUAGUCUGAUCUUGUUAAGCUAAGGAGGGUUGGGCCUGGUUAGUACUUGGAUGGGAGACUGCCUGGGAAUAUCAGGUGCUGUAGGCU
rnacentral:rRNA from 1 species